UGGGGAAUAUUGCACAAUGGGCGGAAGCCUGAUGCAGCAACGCCGCGUGAGGGAUGACGGCCUUCGGGUUGUAAACCUCUUUUAGCAGGGAAGAAGCGAGAGUGACGGUACCUGCAGAAAAAGCGCCGGCUAACUACGUGCCAGCAGCCGCGGUAAUACGUAGGGCGCAAGCGUUAUCCGGAAUUAUUGGGCGUAAAGAGCUCGUAGGCGGUUUGUCGCGUCUGCUGUGAAAUCCCGAGGCUCAACCUCGGGCCUGCAGUGGGUACGGGCAGACUAGAGUGCGGUAGGGGAGAUUGGAAUUCCUGGUGUAGCGGUGGAAUGCGCAGAUAUCAGGAGGAACACCGAUGGCGAAGGCAGAUCUCUGGGCCGUAACUGACGCUGAGGAGCGAAAGGGUGGGGAGCAAACAGGCUUAGAUACCCUGGUAGUCCACCCCGUAAACGUUGGGAACUAGUUGUGGGGACCAUUCCACGGUUUCCGUGACGCAGCUAACGCAUUAAGUUCCCCGCCUGGGGAGUACGGCCGCAAGGCU
rnacentral:rRNA from 1 species